rnacentral:rRNA from 1 species
CUUGAACGCUGGCGGCAGGCCUAACACAUGCAAGUCGAGCGAGCGGCGGACGGGUGAGUAAUGUAUGGGGAUCUGCCCGAUAGAGGGGGAUAACUACUGGAAACGGUGGAUAAUACCGCAUACUAUCGGAUGAACCCAUAUGGGAUUAGCUAGUUGGUGGGGUAAAUGCUCACCAAGGCGACGAUCUCUAGCUGAUCUGAGAGGAUGACACGCCACACUGUGACUGAGACACGGCCCAGACUCCUACGGGAGGCAGCAGUGGGGAAUAUUGCACAAUGGGCGCAAGCCUGAUGCAGCCAUGCCGCGUGUAUGAAGAAGGCCUUAGGGUGGUAAAGUACUUUCAGCGGGGAGGCGUGACCCGCAGAAGAAGCACCGGCUAACUCCGUGCCAGCAGCCGCGGUAAUUC